AUUGAACGCUGGCGGCAGGCCUAACACACGCAAGUCGAGCGGAUGAGAGGAGCUUGCUCCUCGAUUCAGCGGCGGACGGGUGAGUAAUGCCUAGGAAUCUGCCUAGUAGUGGGGGACAACGUUUCGAAAGGAACGCUAAUACCGCAUACGUCCUACGGGAGAAAGUGGGGGAUCUUCGGACCUCACGCUAUUAGAUGAGCCUAGGUCGGAUUAGCUAGUUGGUAGGGUAACGGCCUACCAAGGCGACGAUCCGUAACUGGUCUGAGAGGAUGAUCAGUCACACUGGAACUGAGACACGGUCCAGACUCCUACGGGAGGCAGCAGUGGGGAAUAUUGGACAAUGGGCGAAAGCCUGAUCCAGCCAUGCCGCGUGUGUGAAGAAGGCCCUCGGGUCGUAAAGCACUUUAAGUUGGGAGGAAGGGCUUACAGCGAAUACCAGUGAGUUUUGACGUUACCGACAGAAUAAGCACCGGCUAACUUCGUGCCAGCCGCCGCAGUAA
rnacentral:rRNA from 1 species